CCUACGGGAGGCAGCAGUGAGGAAUAUUGGUCAAUGGGCGCGAGCCUGAACCAGCCAAGUCGCGUGAGGGAAGACUGCCCUAUGGGUUGUAAACCUCUUUUGUCAGGGAGCAAUUGGCGCUACGUGUAGCGUUAUCGAGAGUACCUGAAGAAAAAGCAUCGGCUAACUCCGUGCCCGCAGCCGCGGUAAUACGUAGGUAGCAAGCGUUGUACGGAAUGACUGGGCGUAAGGGGCGCGUAGGUGGGCGCUUAAGUCAGGUGUGAAAACUCCGGGCUCAACCUGGAGACUGCACUUGAAACUGGGUGUCUUGAGGGAAGGAGAGGAAAGGGGAAUUCCUAGGGUAGCGGUGAAAUGCGUAGAUAUUAGGAGGAACACCAGUGGCGAAGGCGACGAUCUGGCCUGCAACUGACGCUCAGUCCCGAAAGCGUGGGGAGCAAAUAGGAUUAGAUACCCGUGUAGUC
rnacentral:rRNA from 1 species